GAAUUAAAUUAAAAUUCUAAUCACGGAAAUGAAAAACUAUAAUUAUAAUAUUAAAUCUGAUGACUAUUGUGAUCGAUCGGUAAUCUGACGGAGAUGACUCGUUGAAGAGAGCUCAUCGGUUCGCCUUCAAGCCCCCCCCCAGGUUCACCCUUGGCAGGAGGGAGUUGUAACGCGGCAUUUUAUUCGCCGCGUACAAAUUAAUAAAUUUUGUCAAUAAUUGAAUUCUAAUCUUUUCUUAUUCACGUCAAAUCGAGAAUCAACAUUUAUUUUCUCCUUCCGAGAAUUAUUCUCUUAUUUAUCCACUUUCGCAAAAUGCAUAGUUUCAAACCUGUAAAAUAGCGAACCGUCAGAUCGCUGGUCAACACAAUUAUUGUAAACAUAAGAAAACUGAUACUUCGAUAUUCUUUCAUGUAAAACUUAACACCGCGAGUUCUUGACUUCUCAUCGCCCGGAUUACUGCCGAGAUAUUGCUCCGUAUUCGUCCAACAUGGGAAAUGUUUCCUUACUUAUUACUGGAAAUAAAUGCUGGUCAUAUUAAUUGGCAGUAAAACUAAUAUCCAUCGGCGAGGACAUCAGCUGUCAUAACACUGGCCGCAGCCAUCUUGCGAACCAGUCGUCGUCGUGCAGUGCCCCUCGCGGAGACUAAGCGAACUUUUAUGAACUCUUCUCGACAGUCGGUAAUUUACCUAAUUACUGACUGUUGCGCAUCGAUUACCAUCGGAAAAUCUAUGUAACAAGUGCGCGUGGGACUCACCACGAAGUGGAGAUGCGCGUCGACUUAGGCGUCCCCGUCGGCCAUUUAAUUGAUUCUCGUUUUUGUCGUUGUAUUGACAGGUCGCAGUAGACCACGUUCUUAUAAUAAUUAAAAUUUUAUCUAAUUGUGCACUCUUUCCUGGUGAUAAUGAGCCGUGGGACAAUGAGGGGACGUCGGCGUAUCUCCGAUUUCAUUCCCCUCUUUCGCUUUACAUCUAAAUGUGAAUGACAAGUGGCCAUUUAUCCUCGAGUGCGCUGUCCGGUAUCAAAUUAUUCUCGGCACGACAAGUGAGAAAUUUACCAUUGUCUUCAAUUGUCGGUACGUAACUCAAAACACUUCUUGAU